rnacentral:rRNA from 1 species
AUUGAACGCUGGCGGCAUGCCUUACACAUGCAAGUCGAACGGUAACAGGUCUUCGGAUGCUGACGAGUGGCGAACGGGUGAGUAAUACAUCGGAACGUGCCCGAUCGUGGGGGAUAACGGAGCGAAAGCUUUGCUAAUACCGCAUACGAUCUACGGAUGAAAGCAGGGGACCGCAAGGCCUUGCGCGGACGGAGCGGCCGAUGGCAGAUUAGGUAGUUGGUGGGAUAAAAGCUUACCAAGCCGACGAUCUGUAGCUGGUCUGAGAGGACGACCAGCCACACUGGGACUGAGACACGGCCCAGACUCCUACGGGAGGCAGCAGUUGGGAAUCUUGGGCAAUGGGCGAAAGCCUGACCCAGCGACGCCGCGUGAGGGAAGAAGGCCUUCGGGUCGUAAACCUCUGUCAUGGGGGAAGAAGCAAGUGACGGUACCCCAAGAGGAAGCCCCUGCUAACUACGUG